GGUGAGCCGGACGCAGGCGUGCCUGCGCAGUGCGCGGAGGAGUGCUGUGCGUGUGUUUGAGUCCCUGGGUUGCUUCUUGGGGUCUGUGGUGCUGGGUGUGCUAUCUGCGUGUGAUUCUCUAGCGAGAGAUUGUGGGCGAGUGACCGAGUGGGCAAGGGGCCGUCACUGUGUGUGCGUGAUUGUGACGGUGUGUGGUGGUAGCUUCUGAUUCCGCCUGGGUCGUUGAAUGUGUGACUGGGACCGUUUAGCGGUGGAUACACAACUGUGUGCGGCUGUGGAAGAUUCCCUCAUCUGUUACGUUCCCAUUUCCGUGGAACAACAGUUUUACCAGAAGGUUUCGAAGGAAGCUUAAAGUUUGGAAGCGUAAGAGUGUAUCUGGCGGCUUUGGUGUCAUCAAGUGUGAGAAGCCCUGGACUUUACACAUCUCGAGCCAGUGUGACCCAGUAUGAUCGGGAGUCCGAGUACCAGAUGCCGGUCAGGGCCUGUUAUGCUGGGUCUCAGAAUGCGGAAACCCUCCCUGUCCGAGGUGGAACAGUUUGUCCUUGAGUCAGGCCCGGAGUCUUGAGUGACUCUUUUGAUUAGAUCCUGUUUCCCUCAGACCUGAUUUGGCAUCCUUUCGUCGGGCUGUGAGCAGGAAGUCCUUAAUUUCUUCAAUUUUCCGAGGCAUGGCGACGAGGCGCACUGG